ensembl:lncRNA
UCCCAUCCCAGGCCCUAGCACAGCUCCUUCAUGUGUAUGAUGUGGCCCUAGAACAUGUCACAGCCCAGCAGGAAACAGUCAUCUCUCUCACAACCGGAGCCAAGGUCACUUCCUGGGCCAUAGGAGCCAAAGCAACCCGCUUUAGGCAGCUCUGCACCUCACUCAACUCACCCUCAGCAGCUCUGCUUCUGUUCAAAGUUACCAUUUUGGACUAAGGAAGGGCUUAUGCUGGUUUUAGAGCCCUGGAAGGAUUUCUGGGGAACCUGGUGCCACCUUUGCUGUCCUGAGAGUUUCAGCAGGCCAACAGUCUCUGCAGCAUUGGUUUUCCCAGGUGCAGAAGAAGCUGACUUUGAGGACAGAGGAUCAAAACGGAGCUGUAGGAACUUAGAGAUUCCAUGACCAUUAGCGUUUGGUCUGAAGCAGGAAACUGUGGGGACACCUGGACAGAGCACUCUGACACACAAAGAAGGAGCAAACUGGCUUUAUGGCGGUGGCUCAGCCAGUGGCUCCUGUCAGUCUCAAGAGCCUGAAGAGAAGUUCGCUCUUCUUUCUGUACCUCUUUUACAUCUACGAGGCUUAUUUUCAUUGGAGUUUCCCUGGGAAUAUGGCAAGCAGGAUUUACACAAAGCACGGGGAGGGGGUGGGGCCAAGAGCUCUGGCAGGACUUUGUGAGUCUGUUCUGCUCCUUUCGUGACAGAUUCCAGAAGCUGUCAAGGUUACUCAGGUGCAUUCUACAAAGAGCAUAGUUACCCAGUUAACCCAGUUGUCCAAUUCCACAGGGAGGCGUGGUGUCCUCUCACUUGGGCCAAGAAAAUACUUCACUGGGGGAAGCCUUCUUACUGAUUUCAUGUCAUGUUUUUUAGAGCUCUGGGUAAGAUUUUUUGCUUGAGGAAAAGAAAUUCCACUGAUUUUAACCAAAACAAGGAAGCAAACCUGGAAGCCGGCUGGCUGUGAUUUCUCUGUACUUAGCAAUGGAGAGCGUGCCCUGAGAUUGUGGUGGGACUGGAAGACUGCAGGUCAGAAGCCCCACUUCCUGUUUCCCAGCCCACAAGCCUUUGUUGUUCUUUUCAGAACUUGUUAUCCUUCCUCGGCUGCUCUGCGGUCAGAGGGCCUGGAGGGGAGCAGGCUGCCUCCUAAGCUCAGCGCUUGGAGCCAGGCCCAGCCUCCGUCAGGAGAGAUGGCCCCAGCAGGGGAGGUCAGACACAGGAAGUCAGGAACGUGGCACCCGCUCUGCGUGCCAGGAAGGCCUCCUUCCUCCCCGUGACUGGUCUUCAAGGUCUGAAUUUCUAUCAUUUGAGAUUUCUUUCUUUGGUUCGAUCACUGUGCUUUUUGAGUUCUUCUUUUCAAGCUCCCUCUUUCUUCUCUAGGGGUGAGAAGCCAGCUGAGUUUCUCUCUGGAAGGGAUCCUAGGAGCCAGAAGAGAAGGGGCGGACACUAGGAAAGGAAAGUGAGGGGAGAACGGCAGGAACGGGGCAAGGUGUGCAUUGGCAUGCGGCCUACAGCCUCAGCACUGUCCCUGGGGUCCGCCGGCUGGCUGCAGAGACUGCUAGGCCUGGGUGACCCAGAGAUCACUUAAAGGACACAGGAGGGUGUGUGAUGCUCUGCCCUUUUAUACAAGGGGACUUGAACUUCUAGGAACUCUGGGGUCCAAGAGGGAACUGAACCCCCACCAGUACUGAGCAAUGACUGCAUAAGACAAUUUCUCUAAGCAGCACUCAUAUUCUCGUGCCUUCCUAGAAUAGAGGAUGAUAAAAAUAAGCAUAAUUUUCAUCGUGAACAAGAGGCCAAAUUCUUCCACAUCCGAUACUAACAUUUGGAUCUUCGGGGCUCCUGGGGGAGCAGAAGUGCUGGUGUCCGUGUCUGCACUCACUGAAUUCCUAGGUUGGUGUUUAAGUUUUCAGGCUACCCUGUCAGUGCCUGCAUUCCACCUGUCCAACUCUCCAACUCUUUUAAGGCGGUGGCUCUAAUUUGCUCCCCACCUUGGAAAGCGGCACACACACACACACACACACACACACACACACACGUGUUAGGAGUGUGAGAAGAGUAGGACGACCUAGAUCUGACCUCAAUGGCAGGCUGGGUCCUGGUUAG